CCGAGCGACUCCUUGAAGUCAGACAAGGAGGAUACAAUGAUUUUGGGCGAAAAAUUAAAAAUAAUUGAAGUUCGUGUGCGUGAAGAGCGGGUGGGAGGGGGCAGCGGGGUCAGGCACAUCAAAGGGUGCCGUGGAGGUGCUGAGUGAGGUUUGCUGAGUGGGAGCGCACGAUUGCCUCAAAAGGAAAGAAAUGCUCCUGAAUUUUUUACUGUCUCGGUCCUGUUUCAUACCAGCCCUGUGGAGGCACAGGGAGAGCCUUCCUGAGAGCCAGGGCCUUUCCUAACCCCGGACUCCGUUUUUCUGAACGUGCCGUGACUUUUGAGGACCACGCAUGGUUACCCAGCCCGGGGCACUGCUGGAGCAGCUGGGGGGAGCUGUGACACACGGAGGGAGAAGUGCCCUUGUGCUCCUUGUGCUCCGCCUUGGCUUUCAUCUGCAGAGCGUGUAGCUGCAAGUGCGGCGUGUUUACAAAUGCAGGCAUUGCAAGAUCCCUUGAACUGUGUCCUAGUACAAAAGAGGCUUUGAAACGAGAAACACGUUGUCAUGGCAUGUUCCAGGCCAGCAGCACCAGACUGAACCAGAUAAUUGCUGUUUCUGCUUCAGCGUGGAAAAAGCAGCAGGUGUGUUCCUGCCCCAGGCACAUCACCCUGUGGAGGCAGUAUUGCCAUCACAGGGCCUUUGGGGAUGGCCAGACAGGAAAGCUCUGCAUGGGAAGGGUUUUUCACCACAUGUGCCGUGUUAAAACUGCAAACGGAGCAGGCUGGGUGAUACCACACAGCUGAUGGAAUCAGGAAUGCCUGGAAAUAAAAGGCAGCUCCCCCAGCUCCUCCUGUGCUUGUGGCUGUCCUGGGCUGGUGGGAGCUGGCUGGGCUCUGUCCUGGGCUGCCUGUUCCUGGCAUCCAGCUCUGCACCCACACAGA